rnacentral:misc_RNA from 1 species
GAAAUUACGACAAAAAUAUACUUCAUUGGUUAUGGCUUAUCUCUUUGUACACUAGCAGUAGCUGUCUCCAUAUUUCUAUAUUUUAAAGAACUGAGAUGUCUUAGGAACAAUAUUCAUAUAAAUUUAAUGUUAACGUACAUCCUGGCUGACCUCAUGUGGAUACUAACUACCGCAAUGCAGGUUUCCAUGCAAACAGAUAUACCAACUUGUGUCAUGUUCUUCUCCCUUCUUCAUUAUUUUCAACUGACCAAUUUCUUCUGGAUGUUUGUUGAAGGAUUGUAUCUCUAUUUGUUAGUUGUAAGAACUUUUACGGGUGAUAAUAUUAAGUUGAGGAUGUGUCUUGUGAUCGGUUGGGGUGUUCCAAUUUUCAUCAUAGCCAUAUGGGGUAUUGCCAAAUCUCUGGUCACUCAAGGAAAUCAGAAUAUCGCACUUUGGAAACACUGUCCAUGGAUGACAUCACAUCCAUGCGAUUGGAUUUAUCAAGCAUCUGUCAUUACAGUUCUUGCUAUUAAUGUAAUUUUCUUAUUCUUGAUCAUGUGGGUACUAAUAACUAAAUUAUGGUCCGCGAACAAUGCAGAAACGCAACAAUACAGAAAAGCUAGCAAAGCUUUACUGGUGCUCAUACCACUUCUUGGAGUGACAUAUGUUCUGGUUCUCGCUGGACCAACGGAAGGUCAAGCGGCUAAUGCAUUUUCUUACACCCGUGCUGUGUUACUUUCUUCUCAGGGUUUGCUGGUGACGCUAUUCUAUUGUUUUCUCAAUACCGAGGUGCAAAGUGCACUAAGACAUCACUUUGCAACGUGGACAACGUCGCGUGAUCUUGGCAAUAGUCGAAGGUAUUACAAGAAUUGGUCUCCGCGCUCAAGAACAGAAAGCAUAAGGUACUUGAAGUCCGCGCCGAAGACGCGCACGUCUUAAAAUCGCUUUGCGGUGCUUCAAGACGUUGAAAGAACGCAGAAAUGACGAACGCUAUACGGCCAACCUUCAAAUCCAUAUCGUAAAAGGGAAUCUACGGUAAGUGAAACAACAACCACAACGGUGAUAGGUCCAAAUUCAACAACAACCUUUCUGGACAAAUCUAAGAAAGCCAUUUCAGAAGACUCAAAUGAAUAAAAUUUAACACAAAGCGAAUUUUGAUGGGA